GAUGAACGCUAGCUACAGGCUUAACACAUGCAAGUCGAGGGGUAACGAGAGGAAAGCUUGCUUUCCUUGUCGACGACCGGCGCACGGGCGAGUAACGCGUACCCAACCUGCCCCCAACUAGGGAAUAACCUUGCGAAAGUAAGACUAAUACCCUAUAAUUUCCACAGAUGUCAUCUGACGAGGAAUAAAGAUUUAUCGGUUGUGGAUGGGGAUGCGUCUGAUUAGCUUGUUGGCGGGGGAACGGCCCACCAAGGCAACGAUCAGUAGGGGUUCUGAGAGGAAGGUCCCCCACAUUGGAACUGAGACACGGUCCAAACUCCUACGGGAGGCAGCAGUGAGGAAUAUUGGUCAAUGGGCGGAAGCCUGAACCAGCCAAGUAGCGUGCAGGAUGACGGCCCUAUGGGUUGUAAACUGCUUUUAUACAGGAAUAAAGUUAGCCACGUGUGGUUAUUUGUAGGUACUGUAUGAAUAAGGACCGGCUAAUUCCGUGCCAGCCGCCGCCGUAA
rnacentral:rRNA from 1 species